rnacentral:rRNA from 1 species
AAACCGCUUUUGAUAGGGAAGAAGCNCUGACGGUACCUAUCGAAUCAGCAUCGGCUAACUCCGUGCCAGCAGCCGCGGUAAUACGGAGGAUGCAAGCGUUAUCCGGAAUUAUUGGGCGUAAAGCGUCCGUAGGUGGUUGUUCAAGUCUGCUGUUAAAGCGUGCGGCUUAACCGCAUACCAGCAGUGGAAACUGGGCGACUAGAGUGCGGUAGGGGUCAGGGGAAUUCCCAGUGUAGCGGUGAAAUGCGUAGAUAUUGGGAAGAACACCGGUGGCNAAAGCNCCUGANUGGACCUGCACUGACACUGAGGGACGAAAGCUAGGGGAGCGAAAGGGAUUAGAUACCCC